CUUGCUUUUAUGGUGGCGACCGGCGCACGGGUGCGUAACGCGUAUGCAACCUACCCCGUACUGGGGGAUAGCCCGAAGAAAUUCGGAUUAAGACCCCAUGGUAUUAUUUUAUCGCAUGAUAAGAUAAUUAAAGGUUACGGUACGGGAUGGGCAUGCGUCCUAUUAGCUAGAUGGUAAGGUAACGGCUUACCACGGCAACGAUAGGUAGGGGGCCUGAGAGGGUGACCCCCCACACUGGUACUGAGACACGGACCAG
rnacentral:rRNA from 1 species